rnacentral:rRNA from 1 species
UACCUGCAGCUCAAGUGGUGACCGCUAUUAUUGGGCCUAAAACGUUCGUAGCCGGCUGAGUAAGUGCGUUGGGUAAAGUCGUGCCGCUUAACGGUACGAAUUCCGGGUAGACUGCUCAGCUUGAGACCGGGAGAAGCUAGAGGUACUCCUGGGGUAGAGGUGAAAUUCCGUAAUCCUGGGGGGACCACCAGUGGCGAAGGCGUCUAGCUAGAACGGGUCUGACGGUGAGGGACGAAACCCUGGGGCGCAAACCGGAUUAGAUACCCGGGUAGUCCAGGGCGCAAACGCUGCUUGCUUGAUGUUAGCUGGGCUCCGGGCUCAGCUAGUGUCGGAGAGAAGUUGUUAAGCAAGCUGCCUGGGAAGUACGAUCGCAAGAUUGAAACUUAAAGGAAUUGGCGGGGAGCACAGCAACGGGUGGAGCGUGCGGUUC